ACGGUCCAUGUUUUAUUGUAGCUUUAGGUGAAGAAAACCAAGGGCGGGCAAACCACUCACUCAUUCCCUCCAACUCAAUCCACCAGCCUUCCCCCAAAUCCCACGACGCAGCCGGAGUCAUCUCACCUCCUCAACCGCUUGCUCGCUGCACCACGUCUGCUGCACCACGUCUGCUGCACCAGGUACUUCCCCAAACCCUAGACUGACGCCGCACACUACGCCGGACCACCUCCUCUGUGCCGCUGCAUACCUCGCCGAACCACCUCUUACGCCGGACGACCAGGUUUAGAAAGUUGUUGAAGUUAGAGGUGCACAAAUCGGGUUAGGGUUUGUACCCGAACCGGGUUCAAACUAGUUGGAUUGAAGCUUAAAAAAGUCAAACCGGGUUGAGAGUGAAACUUAGUUGGAUUCAGCCCGUGUUAGUGGUUUGUAAAACUGAACCCUAUGAAACCAGUUCGGGUUAGGCCCUGCCCAUCAAACAAUCCUGGGUGUGUUUCGAGUAACCUGAAAUCGAGGUCUUUUGCGUUCCCUUGGAGGGUUCUGGACAAGUCUUUGGGUAAUGCACUCCAGCAAUUGCAGGAAGCAGUCCUUGAAGAGUUGAAGCUCUAAAGAAUGCCAAAAUUGAGGUAGUGAAAGACACACCUGAU